GGGACGAAAGGUUAAUUUACUGAAAGGCUAGUAGGUUCUCAUUACACGCAUUCUCAGAUUUGCUUCGCCCAGCCACAAAAGGGUAUAUCUAUGAGCAUUGUAACACGGAGAGUUUGAUUUGCUUCGCCCAGCCACAAAAGGGUAUAUCUAUGAGCGUUGUAACACGGAGAGUUUGAACUACCACAAGUUAACAUUAGAUACAACACAAAGACUGUGGAAAACAUAAUUAACCUAUAAAUACUUGCAUAGCACCUUAAUUGGGAGAAACGGAAAACCUACAACUUUGCAC
rnacentral:lncRNA from 1 species